rnacentral:tRNA from 1 species
UCUCCAUUGGCAGAAUAGUGCACUAGACUUAGGAUUUAGAUAUGUAAAAUUUGAUUUUACAUGGGGAA